rnacentral:rRNA from 1 species
UGGGGAAUUUUGGACAAUGGGCGAAAGCCUGAUCCAGCAAUGCCGCGUGUGUGAAGAAGGCCUUCGGGUUGUAAAGCACUUUUGUCCGGAAAGAAAUCCUUGGCUCUAAUACAGUCGGGGGAUGACGGUACCGGAAGAAUAAGCACCGGCUAACUACGUGCCAGCAGCCGCGGUAAUACGUAGGGUGCAAGCGUUAAUCGGAAUUACUGGGCGUAAAGCGUGCGCAGGCGGUCUGCUAAGACCGAUGUGAAAUCCCCGGGCUCAACCUGGGAACUGCAUUGGUGACUGGCAGGCUAGAGUAUGGCAGAGGGGGGUAGAAUUCCACGUGUAGCAGUGAAAUGCGUAGAGAUGUGGAGGAAUACCGAUGGCGAAGGCAGCCCCCUGGGCCAAUACUGACGCUCAUGCACGAAAGCGUGGGGAGCAAACAGGAUUAGAUACCCUGGUAGUCCACGCCCUAAACGAUGUCAACUAGUUGUUGGGGAUUCAUUCCUUAGUAACGUAGCUAACGCGUGAAGUUGACCGCCUGGGGAGUACGGUCGCAAGAUUAAAACUUAAAUGAAUUGACGGGGUCAUAGCUGUUUCCU